CCUACGGGAGGCAGCAGUGGGGGAUAUUGCACAAUGGGGGGAACCCUGAUGCAGCGACGCCGCGUGGGUGAAGAAGCGCCUCGGCGCGUAAAGCCCUGUCAGCAGGGAAGAAAAUGACGGUACCUGAAGAAGAAGCCCCGGCUACCUACGUGCCAGCAGCCGCGGUAAUACGUAGGGGGCAAGCGUUAUCCGGAUUUACUGGGUGGAAAGGGGGCGCAGACGGCGAUGCAAGCCAGGAGUGAAAGCCCGGGGCCCAACCCCGGGACUGCUCUUGGAACUGCGUGGCUGGAGUGCAGGAGGGGCAGGCGGAAUUCCUGGUGUAGCGGUGAAAUGCGUAGAUAUCAGGAGGAACACCGGUGGCGAAGGCGGCCUGCUGGACUGCAACUGACGUUGAGGCCCGAAAGCGUGGGGAGCAAACAGGAUUAGAUACCCUAGUAGUC
rnacentral:rRNA from 1 species